GGCAUGAUGGCCGAGUGGUCUAAGGCGGUUAGUGGGCUUGUCCAUCACAUGUAGACUCAUUUACUAACAGAGGUUAUAGGCGGUUUUAAGCUAUCCCGGAUUGCACCGCUCUCGAGAGAGGCGUGGGUUCAAACCCCACUCAUGUCA